AAUGUGAGGGCUGGUUGUUCCUUUAUUGGAUUUGUGUAGGACGUUUCUUAAUGACUGGAUGUGGAGAUGAAAGAAGAAUAAACAGGAAGAAAUUCCACGAAUGUUGCCGGGAACAGUAUCAGCGUGACCAUAUGAAUCAUAUCCCUCUUCCAACUAUUUCUACUGUGUCAUAGAACAAUUUCACGCAAAUGUACUCAUUAGCAGAGGAAGUCAGCAAAACAAAGCACAAUGUGGACAAAGCCAGUGGUUUGUCAAGUUAGAUUAUGACCUGGCGUCCUCUAGGUGACCCCAAAUCGGUAGAUUGACUUUAAAGAUUCUCGGAUGUUUGCUGCAUUAUCCACGUAGUUCGGUUAACAUUCACAAUAAAAAUAGGUUAAUAAAACAUUUCCUGAAGCAUGAAAGUAUCCUUGUUUGAUCCCAGCCAUCAUGUGAAGCUCACAGGAAGUAAUAGAUUUGAUUUUUAGUAUGCGGGUUUCAGUUUAUGCGUGUUAAAGCAGCUUUUGCAGGUAUUCUGCUGGUCUGGAGAAGUGGCACCUUGACUCGAGCAUUAAUCCUUCCAAACAAAAUCGUCAUCAUGCAGACUUAAAGUAUUUUAGGCAGAUAGAGAAGAGAUGGAGACCCGAAUCAGGUGAUAAAGAAUAGGAAGGGAAGCUGUGCGUAAACCUUCUGUUUAUGAGUUCUAGUCCUGAACUUUGAAACAAAAUUCAGACACCUUGAUAGGUCUGAUUUAUCCCUAAAGUAUGGAGUGCGCACAGCUUAUUAACCCCUACGCCAGUGUGUUGUGGGCUUUGUGACAACUAUACAUUAUUACUGAAAGAUGGCAGGAGUUUUAGUCACAUGAAGGAGCACAUGGGCAUCUGGAUAAAAGGAGAAGUGAAACGUUUCCUGGCUUCACCACCCACCUCACACAACUCUGUAAUUCUCUAAAACACAGUAGUUCUGUCUCAGCUGUCAACACUGCCAUAAGACGGCUUCUUCGUAACGAUGAGACACGUGACAGCGGCACUGUGUGACGCUCCUGGAUGAGAAUGCAUUUUUUCGGUAUUCGCAGUUGCAGCUUGGCACAUGAAAGAUGGCCCAUCACCUAAAGAAAAGCGGAAAAAAGAAGCGCUCUCUCAGCCCGCUGGCUUUCCUCUGCAGCAGCUGUCGGUCAGCGUCAGUUGGUGUAUCUCGGAAACACAGAUCGCUAAUGAGGCUGGAGCUCUCGAGGACUGCCUGGCCCUGAACUCAGCAUCACACGGUGCUAAGUGACGAGGAUCCCCUGCUGCACCCAGGGAGGGUUAUGCAUCUAAAACGUGAAUAUUAUAUACGUCACGUCAAAUCAGGAGACGGGUGCUCUCAUCUGCAGCUUGAGCUGUCUGGCUUUGAGAUCUCGCUGUGCUCGGGGUGGUCCUGCAAACUCAGGAAAGUCCAGGUACGAUUUGAUUAAUGUGGAUUUUGGCUCGUCUGGACAGAAACAUCAGCAAGGACACUGCGGACGUAAAAUGCUUCUGCUGCUGCUGCUGUGAUGGUGGUGUUGCAGACCCCCCAUGCAGGCCAGAUCUUUCUGCAGCUUCUGCACCGACACAUGAUCUGACUAGGAAGGAUGCAAAGGUGGAAGCAGACCGUGCUGGAUUUAGUUUCACAGCAUCUUACUGGAGCAAACGCACACAACAUACUGCAAGGUUUUCAGUAGUAUCUACUUCCCCCUUUUUUUUUCUUUUUUUUGUUUGAGAGGACACGGAUACACCCUGACUGGGCCCCUGUAGUGCUCUACAUUGUGGUUGGGAAGUACCUAGUUUUACAACUGUCAUGCUGGCCUGCUUAAAGGGACAGUGCUGAUCAAUUCGAAGCACAUAUUCAGGGGUCUUUUAGUCACCCUAACAAGGGGGGUCACAUGGAUGUUUGAGUCGUCAUUCCUCAUGUGAGGAAUGUGCAGUCCGAAGAGCCGCUUUCUGCAUCAAGCACUGCAUAAAAAUACUGAUUGAUAUUUGUUAAAAGAAUGUCUUUAAUAAAAAGUUGAAUUGAA